GUUUGCACUUGUCGGGGAAGGGUGAGAACCUUCGAUUAAGGUUCGACUCGAGCGAAAGCGAGAGAACGUUGCCAACGGCAACGGCCCGUAGGGUGAGG
rnacentral:sRNA from 1 species